GGACUACAGGGGUUUCUAAUCCUGUUUGCUCCCCACGCUUUCGCUCCUCAGCGUCAGUACCGGCCCAGAGCGCCGCCUUCGCUACGGGUGUUCCUCCCGAUCUCUGCGCAUUUCACCGCUACACCGGGAAUUCCACGCUCCCCUACCGGACUCGAGUCAGGGCAGUCUCACGUGGCGCCUCCACGUUGAGCGUGGAGAUUUCACACGUGACUUGCCCAACCGCCUACGAGCUCUUUACGCCCAAUAAAUCCGGACAACGCUUGCCCCCUACGUAUUACCGCGGCUGCUGGCAC
rnacentral:rRNA from 1 species